CAUUAAGUAGCUAAAAUGUUUUAAAGCAUUGGUCUCUUAAACCAAAUAAUAGUAUUUAACAAACACUCUUAAUGA
rnacentral:tRNA from 1 species